rnacentral:rRNA from 1 species
GAUGAACGCUGGCGGCGUGCUUAACACAUGCAAGUCGAACGAAGCACUUUAUUUGAUUUCCUUCGGGACUGAUUAUUUUGUGACUGAGUGGCGGACGGGUGAGUAACGCGUGGGUAACCUGCCUUGUACAGGGGGAUAACAGUUGGAAACGGCUGCUAAUACCGCAUAAGCGCACAGCAUCGCAUGAUGCAGUGUGAAAAACUCCGGUGGUAUAAGAUGGACCCGCGUUGGAUUAGCUAGUUGGUGAGGU